rnacentral:lncRNA from 1 species
UUAAUCUUCAAAGGUUCUUCUCAGCUGAAACCAUUCUCAAUUUAUUCCCUUUUUAUUCACAGGGAAGGACUAGCAAAAAUUUUGUUCAUACACAUCUGAAGGCAUGCCUCAGUUAUACUCCAAAUGCUAAGACAGAAGUCUUGAUCAUCUCUUCUAAAGAGGAUAGCUGUCCCAAGACAAAUGAGUGCAUGGACAAAGUAAUUCAUUGUGAAUGGUGUACUGCUACAGUACGGAAGUGAAGGAUGACAGCAGACCAACUGAUCUGACCAACAGCUGUUCUACCUAAUCAGGCUGCAGCAGACAGCAAACAGUGAAGCGGGCGAAUUUGCCAUUUAUAUGGAUAGCUUUGCAAAGCAACCCAGCUCCUUCAAAAAGAGGUAAGUGUAAUGCACAAUAUGGCAGUUCUUUUAAAAUUGAUGCUUAAAUCUAUUUUAUUUGUAUAUGAGA